CAACACCUUACAUUUUACGGAUGAGGAAGCUGAGGAAUGGUGGACUCCGAGUGAGUCCCCUAAAUCAUGCAGCUAGAGAAUGACUGAGCUCUAGGGCCCAUCAAGGGAUCCUGGGAAGAAUUCUUAUUAGUUUAAUUCUAGUACUUUCUAAAAACAUGACCAUGAUCAAGGUAUGUAUGUAUUUAUUUAUUUUACUACUCUAAGCUUUAAUUUCCUCCUUUGAAAAGCAGAAUUCCUCCUUCAUAGGAGCAUAGAGUUUAUACUACAGUAGGCAUUCAAGAAUCAUAUUUCCAAAUUAAACAAUCAGUCCUGUAUUUUCAUAACUUAUCUUUAAUGCUUCACUAGUGGUCAGUUCCAACAGCUUACUCUAUAAUUAAAUUUGAAUGAUCUUUCACAAGAGGAAAUAGAUUCUGUAUUUUGAAUUCCCUAUGUAAAGAUUUUUUUUGAUGGAAAAUAAAAUUCAACCAUUUUAUUUAAAAAAAUCGUAUCUUUAGGCUAGGGUUGUGGCUUAGUGAUAGAGCACUUGCCUAGCACAUAUGAGACAUUGGGUUCAAUCCUCAGGACCACAUAAAAAUAAAUAAAUAAAAUAAAGGUAUUAUGUCCAUCUACAACAUAUUUUUCCCAUCAUAUCCAGUCUACAAAAAUUAAGCAGGGCUCCCUGAUGGAGGAGAGCCAGAAGCUACCACCUUUUGCACUAUUCUCAUUCUCUUUCAACGUUUAUACUUUUGUCUUCAAAGUUGGUAAAAACCAGAAGUAAAGUCCAAGUGUUGGAUCAAAGCCAUCAGCACUCCCAAGUACAGCACUAAGUAUCAGUUCAUUCUACAAAAAGUUUUUUUUCCUGAGCAUUAAAUCAAAAUCAAUUGCUUGAGAAAGUAAGGAAAAAUAUCAAGUGCUUUCUGAGGCAAAUAAAAGGGAGAAAUCUUAAAAUAUAAUACAAUGGCCAUGAUUAUAGGAAAACAUAAAUUCUCUGGAACAUGUUCUUUUGGAAUAACUCAUAAAAGGGAAAGCAAAAGAAAACAGAACUAAAGUGGUUGAUGGUGCAGAGCAUAAUAUUAACAUUAGGAUCUAUUUGGUGAAAAAGUGAAAUAGCAAUAAAAUGAAGGGAAAAGAAGCAAGAAAAUUAGGCUUUCCAAAUAUAGUUAAAGCUCAGUUUCUCAAAAUAGGAAGGACUAGACACUGUAUGUAAUAACUGAAGAAACUGGAGUGUUUGAAACACAAAACUGGGGCUCUUUUGAUGAGGGAAGUGUUGACCAAGACUGUCCUGAGGACAUCAGGUGGAGUUCUCAUCAGCAACUCUGACUUCAUUUUCUGGUUCUCCCACCUCCACCUGGUGCUCAUUUAAGAACAUGGUACUCGAUUCUUGAGACCAAGGUGACCUCAUCUGGAGACAUAUGGAUUUGUUAAAAAAAAAGAAGGGAGAGGCAAAUGGUGAUGAAGAAUGGAGAGUGGGUGUAGUGAUGGCCUUUGGGGUUCCAAGCUGGGGUGGUCAGAACUGUGGCUAAAACAUUCUACCUGCUAAGAGAUGCCACUAUUUGUGUUACAAAGAUGACAAUCACAAUAGCUAUCUUUUCUCUUUUAAGGCUCUGUGGUGCACUUGGUUCCUUUUCUUCAUGAUCUUCUACCUUAUCACUUUUCUUAGGAAAGGUCUGUUACUCCCACUUUAUGCACAAAAUAAUUCUUGUUCAGAGAGAGCAAAUAACUUGUCUGGAGUCAUAAGACAGGUACAUGCAGACUAUGUCUUGCUCCAAGUCAAUGGUCUAAAGCAGACCUGUUCACAUUUUAGUGAACACAGACAGCAUAGAUCAGUUUUUUUCUGUCUGCCUCUCAGUAGUUUAUAACCUUGGAUGUUAAACCUGCAUUAAUCAGAGAGGAAUGACUUGCGUCGGCAGACCUAGGUGUUCCUGGUCAUGCUGGGUGUAGUUUCACGUGAACAGCAGACUGGCCAGGCACGUCAGAGGAGCAUGAGUACAGCUGGCCCUGAGCAGCACCAUACCGCCUGCUGCUGCUCCUCUCCCAUCAGCAUUUGCCCACCUCCAGGGAUUGAUGUGCUUUUGAAACUCAAAGUUCAAGAAAGCAAAGCUAAGGGCUUACUGGACCUUAGAGAAAGAAGGACUCCAAGCAGAACAGAUUAUUUAUUUUGUUUUGUUGGUUGGAACUGUUUUUUUUUUUUUAAAAAAAGCCUCCUAGCCCUGUCAAAUGUUCAAGAUUGAAAUACCAUGAGACUUGGAGGCUGAGAAAAAUGGGAGAAUUUCCCAACCUUUUCUUUCUUUUCUUUUUUUUUUUAAACAGUACUGGGGGGUACUGUUUAAAAAAAAAAAAAGAAAGGGCCUUGUGCAUGCUAGGUAAGCAUUGUAUCACUGAGCUACAUCCCCAGCCAAGUCCUCACUUUUUGGGCCAGUUUCACCAUCUGGUAAAAGGACUAGUAAGGCCUCCACUAGAAACUGAUUGUGAAGCAUGAAUUAAAUAACAUUAAUAGUCUAGCAUAGGAUAGAUUUUUAUGAAAUAGGUAAAUAUGAACACACCUGUGAUUUAGAGAUCUCCAAUUAUUGAUUAUUUUGAAAGGUGAUACACUGGUGUCAUUCAUAAUCGUUACUGUCAAUACCUUCAACAACUGCCAACUUAUUCUUCACUUCCUGCCCCAUUCCAAGUAUUUCUGGUUUGAAUGUGAUACAAAAUCAAUCAUCAGGCCACGGAGUUAAGUGUAUUCGUGCACCCAGCACAAGAAAAAACUUGACUAUGUAAGUAGAUUUUAUGUAUCAUGGAGUUAUACUCACUAUAGGAUUAUUAUAUUAUGAGAAAGAACUUUCAUAAAAAGAAGUCCACACCUACACAGUGCAACUUGAAGAAUCAUGGCUGGAGUUUAAAAAUACCUUCCCCCAUCUGUGAUAUAGGUAUUUCCUUGUUGAAUUGCGUUCCGAUUUGGUGGUUGGGAUGGUUUCAUAACUCCGAAUCAGCAGUCAUGAUUUUGAUUACAGAGAGAGGGUUAGUUGAAAAAAUCUUUACUGAACUUCUGUGUGUAGAGUGUUUUGGUAGCUGUGGAAACUUCUGGAAAGGAUAUAUUUUGUUGAGAAUAUAAAAUGAGUAAGAGUGACUCAAUCUUAGAACACUUCACAACACCAGGGGUGUAAAGGUAGUGUUGGGGUCAAAAAUCAAAUCAUACCAAACCAAUGAAUACAAUUUUUUUUUGUGUGUGUGUGGUUAUGGUGGUGGUUAUGGUGGUGGCUGUGUUUGUCAUUGUUACUGCAGUGUUCAUGGAUGACUCUGAAGUAACAUGAGAGAAAAGACUAAGAAAAGCCUACCUAUUCCAGAUUUUUACAUGGCCAAUGCAUGCUUCAUACCAGUUACUUCUGCUCAUCUGUAAGACCCAAGAGGGAAGGACCAGUGAUGUUUCACCACUGUCUGCCCAACAUCCAGUCCCAUGUCGGGAAUACAGCAGGUACCCAAUCAAUUUUUGUUGAAUAAAUGGAUUAAUAAAUAUAUUAAUGCAUGAAUUUCAAUCUCAAAAAAGUCCAGAGUAACUGGCUUAUAAUUAAUAUCCUUGUGAUCUUUGAAAUUAUUGACAAGUAGAAUGUAACUUUUGCUUUUUCUAAAACUGAUUUGAGUAUUUCCUUGUUUAUUAUAACAAGGAUUUGAAAGCUUUUCUAUCAUUGUUCAUUUGGAAUUUCAUGGGAAUCCAGAUUGCAGCUCCCCUGCAAUGUUACACAAGAACCAUAGUUCCCCACUCCUCAAAAAUAUGGUGCUAAAAUACGCAUAAGAUAAAAUUUACAGCUUACCCACUUUCAAGUGUCCAGUUCAGUAUCAUUAAGUAUAUGCACUUUGUUCUGCCACCAAUCUCAAAACUUGUGCAAAACUGAAACUCUCUAUCCAUUAAACAACUCUCCAUUCCAUUCUGCACCCAAAUUCUGGAAACCACCAUUCUAUUUUCUAUCUCUAUGAGUCUGGCUACUCUAGGUUCUCCUUGAAAUCGUAAUUGUGUGUUUGUGACUGGCUUAAUUCACUUAGCAUAAUGUCCUGGAGUUUCAUUCAUAUCAUAACAUAUGUCAGAGUUCCUUCCUUUUAAAAAUUGAAUAAUAUUCCAUUUUGUACGUAUGCCACAUUUUCUUCAUCCAUUGAAUAGUCAAUGGACCCUUGGGCUGAUUCCAUCUUUUGGCUAUAGUGAAUAAUGAUAUGGUGAACAUGAAUGUAUGUACAAAUAUCUUUUUAAAACCCUGAUUUCAAUUAUUUUAUUAAUGUAUCAGCUUCAUUAAAUUAGAGUCACAUACCAUACAAUUCACCCAUUUUUAAAGGUUCAGAAUUGGAGCGUAUAGUCUUAAGGCACCAUAAUGAAGCUCAGGGCAACAUGGGAAUUGAAGAGUCAGGAUUCACCUUCCAUUUCUUCAUGGCAAAUUUUUAGACACUCUUCAUUGCUAAGAAAUCUGAACUCUAUGCAUUGCACAAAUAGAGUUCCUGUGUAAAUUCUUUAUCCAAGGUAAGUGAACGUGAGAGUAUUUAUAUUCCAGGACUUAGAAAUAUCACCUUCCUUGAUACUGGAGAGUAAAACUGAAGCUUGGAAUGGAGAAAGAGUUUUGAUGAAAAGGGGCUACGUCUACAUAAGACAACCGUAGGGAUCAUGGCUGGAACUUAAAAAUAUCUUUUUCAAUCUGUGAUUUGGGUAUUUCCUUGUUUAUUAUAACCUGCUUCAAUGUUUGGGAUGUUUUCAAGACUCUGAAAUCAGCAGUCAUUAUUCAUCAAGAAUUCAUUCAUCAAGAAUUUGAGGUUUUCCUUCACUGAGGAAAUUGGUAGAUGCAGUUAGGAUGCUGUGGAAGCAGAAUCAUUAGGAAACAAUUCCAGAAUUACUGAGGGACCAGUAUUUAUGUGACAGGAAAGAGUUACACUGUGGUCCUCAUUGGCCACCCAUCCCCAUGUUCCCACAACCCCUCACAUUGGGUUAUUUACCACCUGGUCAGUGUUUUCUCUUUGCCUUUUGCUCAAUCGUCUCAAAGUCCAAUUUUCCUCUCACUAUCUAAUCAGGUUGUGGUUACUUAUGUCAUUUAUGACCCCCAGCCCAAUAUUUCUUUCACUGUUCCUUAUCUCUUUGGUAAAACUGUGGGCCUUUAGGUGGGAAAACAUUGUGUGCAAGAGGAAAAAUUUCCAAAUGAGGAAACACAAGGUUAGGUCCAGUUCUGCUCCUGUCCAGCCACAGGGCUGCAGGAAGCCCCUCCUCCCAGCCUCCCUUUCCUUUUGUGUACAUUUUUUGUGUACAGUGGGCCUAGAAAUAGCGACCCUCCUGUGUUGCUGCAUUGCCUAAAUGAUAGCACCUGAGUGAGUGCUUUGACAUCUAGGAAGCCCUACAUAACUGUAAAGUCACUUCAUGUUACUUCACAGAAUAGUUCUCUGCUCCUAUAGCACAAACGGUGAGUUGAGUACACACAUACACACAUACACACAGUUUGAGAAUCGGGACCUACUGCUACUCUUUUUUUUUAAAUAUCUUUAUUUUAUUUAUUUAUUUCUAUGUGGUGCUGAAGAUUGAACCCAGGGCCUCGCAUGUGCUAGGCGAGUGCUCUACUGCUGAGCCACAAUCCCAGCCACAAUCCCAGGCAUUGUUCAUGGGAGGGCAUUGCCAUUUUGCUGAACACUUCCGCCUAACAGGGCACUUCCCAUACAAUGCACCACUAAUCCCCAUUUAUUAGAAGGGUAAGCAUUGUUUUGGAGAGGAGGGGAAUGAUCUAAUAUCUUGCCCAAAGUCGUGCCAUUAGUAAGCAGCCAGGCAGGAACUGAAACACAGGCUUAGGAGUCUAAGGUUCUCCACAAGCUUUGAGCUUUUUAUCUAUGUGAAUGAAAGUUCUCUUCAUGCUCUGAUAUCUUAAAGUUGCAUGAUUUUGAAACAUAGUUGUCCUGGAGCAAAGGAAAUAGUUUAAGACAAAAACAUAAGAAACUUCAACUGUGAAAUAUUUUCUUUCAGAAAGUAUUGUUGCUAUGGAUUGACUCUUACAUAGAGAUCUGCAAAAUCUGGGCGUGCAUGGAAGAGACGGGAAGGUUCUAGCCUCCUGCCUCCUUUCCUCCUGCUUUUCAGGUUUGCUUCCUCCCACCUUAGCAGUCUUCAGGAAUGAAGAGGACCAGCUGGAACUGAUCCAGAACUCUGCCGUCCUGGAAGGCUGGGUGGGUACAGGUUCAGACUGCUGAGGGCCAGUAGCUUAAGCAGAUGAUACACCAGUCAACUGCUUGUGGCCACCUUGGUGCCACAUUAUCUCCCACCAAAUAAAGGACAGGGCUGCUCACCCUCCCAGGUAAUUAAUUCAGUCAUCUACAAAUUCAACUCUCUUUCUUGAAGGUCCACCCAUAAAUUUUCUUGGUGAGUUAAUGUAACAGUUCUUAAGAAUUUGGACUUUGAGGUCAGAUAGAACUUGUUUCAAAUUCCAGUUCUGAGCUUUCUUGCUAUGAUGCUUUGGAGAAAUUCUCUAAUUGUUUCUGAGUCUGAUUAGUAAAAGGAUAAUAAUAAAAAUGACCCCACAAGGUUGUUAGAGGAUUGGGUUGAAUAAUGAAUCAUAGGGUUUUGUUUGUUAUGAGAGAGAGAGAGAGAGAGAGAGAGAGAGAGAGAAUUUCUUAAUAUUUAUUUUUUAGUUUUCAGUGGACACAACAUCUUUAUUUUAUUUUUAUGUGGUGCUGAGGAUCGAACCCAGCGCCCCGCACAUGCCAGGAGAGCGCGCUACCACUUGAGCCACAUCCCCAGCCCAAUCAUAGGGUUUUAAGCAUAAUGUUGGCCAAAGGUAAGUACUGUGAACAUAACAGCUGUUGUCCAUCGUCAUCAUUCCUUUUCCCCAUAAUUCUCAAGUUCCCUUCUCCCUCUGGAUCACCAAACAUUUCAAAAUGUUUGCUCCCACAGUACCCAAUCUCAUUAUCUCCUGUAUCCUUCAUCCAGAAUCUUCCCAUCUCACUCUUACCUAAAAAAUAUUUCUCCAUCUAAUAUGUAGAAAAAUAAGCUGAAUCCUGAGUCCAACCCAAAGUUGUUUACCCAUACCCAUGAAGAGGUAUCCCCCACUUGAAGGGUAGUAGGGGCCUACUGCCAUUACCUGAACCAGUUUAUACACAGAAGGAGACGGAGCGAGGUGGAAGCAGGUGUGAGAAGAAUAAAGACAAUGGCUAUUUUACUUGUGGAAAUGUAUUAAAGGGGAAUGAGGGAAAGAGAUAAGGUCACAAGAUGAGGCCACACAUCCAUGCCUCUGAAUCAGGAGCAGACUGAGUGGCAGGGAAGCCAGUCUGCCAGACGGGGCAGACAGGUUCACCUCACUAGCCCCUGUGUCACAUUGUUCAAGGUGCAUGGCCAGACUGCGUGGAGAGAGCAUGUCCUCUGUGGCACACCAACCCCCAGGCAUGCCAGCACCCGCCUGUUGGGCUGCCAUCUGGAGAUGUAAGUAAGAGUUUGGAACAAGUUAUCUCCCUGGCAAGGAGCCCGGGAAGCUUUGCUUUACUUUUGCUUUACUGGCCUCCCAGCAGGAGGCUGCAUGCGCAAUGCUCAUGACCAAGGGGCAGAAGCCCUGGUGUGGAAGGUGGAGUGGAAAAGGAGGGAGGAGUCACUCUCUUUUAAUCUGUUUCCUACCCUGGUCCUGCCUUCUAUUGAUAUUCUCUUUGGUGGCCCUUCUUUGAGUCAUUCACCAAGGGAGAAUAGAGUCCCUCUGAUUUCCUGUCACUUUUAAAAGUGGGAAGAAUUGGGCUGCUAUAAACAUUGAUGUGGCUGUGUCCCUGUAGUAUGCUGUUUUUUAAGUCCUUUGGGUAUGACUAAGGGGAGGGAUAGCUGGGUCAAAAGGCGAUUCCAUUCCCAGUUUUCCAAGGAAUCUCCAUACUGAUUUCCAGAUUGGCUGCACCAAUUUGCAGUCCCACCAGCAAUGUAUGAGUGUGCCUUUUUCCCCUCAUCCUUGCCAACACUUAUUGUCUUCAUAAUAGCUGCCAUUCUGACUGGAGUGAGAUGGAAUCUUCGAGUGGUUUUGAUUUGCAUUUCUCUAAUUGCAUUUCUCAUUUUUUCAUAUAUUUGUUGAUUAAUUGUAUAUCCUCUUCUGAGACGUGUCUGUUCAGGUCCUUGGCCCAUUCAUUGAUUGGGUUAUUAUUAUUAUUAUUAUUAUUAUUAUUAUUAUAUUUUUUUUGGUGCUUAGAUUUUUGAGUUCUUUAUAUACUCUAGAGAUUAGUACUCUAUCUGAUGUGUGAGGGGUAAAGAUUUGCUCCCAAGAUGUAGGCUCUCUAUUCACUUCACAGAUGGUUUCUUAUGCUGAGAAGAAAUUUUUUAGUUUGAGUCCAUUUAUUGAUGUUUUGAUUCUUAAUUUUAAUUCUUGCACCAAAAGAGUCUUAUUAAGGAAGUUGGGGGUGCUCUAUAUGUGUAAUAAGAAUUGUAAUGCAUUCUACUGUCAUAUAUAAAUAAAAAAUUAAAUUAAAAAAAGAAGACUACUCUUCUUUAAGAAGAUUUCUAUUAGGUAGAAUUUGGAUUGUGGGAGGCGAAAAUGAAUGUGGAUUUUUGGUUAUACAGACAUGAAGACUUGUCCAUUCAGAGGUGAAUUGGACUAGGAUAAAGUCAAUGAUGUGUGAAAGAAGAAAAACCAAGUUUGAAAUAUGAUUUGUGCCUCAGUGAAAAAAUUAAAGGCUAUACUAUAUUAUAGUGUUAUUAAAUACUAUAUUAUAGUGUUAUUAAAUACUAUAUUAUAGUGUUACUAAAAUUGGCAUUAUUGGGGGACUGGGAAUAUAACUCAAUGAUCUAAUGAUAAGUAAAUGUUGGCAUAUCCCUUUGAUACACUAUUUGUAUUUUGAAAACAUUAAAAUUAUGUCAACUAAGGAGACAUAAUGGCAAGAAAAAUAAUGAGGAUAAAGUGUUAAAGGAAAUUUUGUGCAUUAUGAUCCUUAUUAUAAAGAAAUAUAUAUGUGUAUGUAUGUAUGUAUAUAUGAACCAGAAGAGUAAUCAUGUUUGAUCUUUCAUUAUAAUUUCUUGCGGUUUCCAAGUUUUCUCCAGGAACUACAAAUUAUUCUAGUAAUCAAAGAUUUUUAAAUAAAUAGAAACAUAAAAGAUAAAAAAAUUUUUUUAAAGUGGGAAGAGCCAGCGCCAUGGUGCAAACCUGUAAUCCCAGUGGCUGGUGGGCCAAGGGGGCGGGGAGCUGAGGCAGGAGGAUCAAGAGUUCAAAGCUAUCCUCAGCAAAAGUGAGGCGCUAGGCAACUCAGUGAGACCCUGUCUCUAAAUAAAAUACAAAAUAGGGCUGGGAUGUGGCUCAGUGAUCAAGUGCCCCUGAGUACAAUCCUCAGUACUGGAAAAAAAAAAAAAAAGUAGGAAGAAGGCUGUAAUAAUCCCAGGAACUUGGUAGUCUGAGGCAGAAGGAUCAAAAGUUUGAGACCAGCUUGAUCAACUUGUCUCAAAACAACAACAACAACAAACCCCAACAAUUACAAUAACAAUAACAAGAAAAAUGUACCUUAGUAUUCAGGUGUAGCUCAGUGGUGGAGUACCCAUGGAUUCCAUAUCCAAUACUGAAAAAAGAAAAGAAAGAAAGCAGGAGGGGGGAUUCAAAGACAACCAGUUCUUAAAAGAUAAUUAUAUUUUGGAGCCAUCUCUUGUGAGAGCUCUUACUGUGUAAAAGCAAAUGUGCCAGUCAUUUUUUAGUAUCCUCUUCCCUCCUCCAUUCUGUUUCUCGGAGGUUUCUUCUCAAGAUGCUCAUUUCCCCUUGUCUUCCAUGAGGGAAGCUGUGAGGGAAGCUGCCUACAGCGGUUCUGCAAAAGCCACCAUCCCAAUUGACACGGGUCUGGCAAAGAAGAGAAGGCAUGAUCACAAAUAGGUUCAGAGCUCAGCUGGGUUCUCCUUGUCCUUUUAUAUCCAGAUAAGAUUGGUUCAAACCUCUAUCCUAUAACUACAGAAAGUCCAGUACCUUUCCCCAGUGUGGGGAAAAUUUCCAGGGGCAGGGUAUUAUAUUAUUGAGAUUACUCUGGCCAAGAGCUUCUCAUUUCACCCAAUCAGUUGAGUCCAAUUCACCCAGCCCCAGCACACCUACCCUGUUCUUUCCAUAAUGGGAAACUUGAUCCCUUCAUUUGAUUUCCAUAAAAAAGCAAGAAAAAAAAUAUGCGAUUUCAUUUUCACAAAGUCUUUUUGUGGACAUAAAGGUUUCCAGAGAGGAUCAAGUAUUACAAGGUGGCAGUUUAAAAUUGAGCAUUAACCUUCUACAUCCCUGUAAGUCCUUCGUUCUGUCUACUGCUGGAAAUUCUACUUCUCUUCUCUCCCCUCACAUCUCUCCUCCUCCCCUCCUCCCUUGCAGAUUUCCUUGACAGAUCUGAAUUGCUUUUUCUCUACUAGGUGGUACCCCCAGCUCAUCUCUAAACCUUGAAUCUCCAAACAGGGCAACUUACACCAGGCAGGGCCACUGACUUUGCUAGCAACAAGCCACUCACAGAAGCCUUGAGAUUUCCUUUCACAUAUCUCACUAGACUUAAAAGCUACCUUUGGUGUUACUGGACAAUUUUGGUUUUUCUUUUAAGCAUGUCCCAAGGUUGUAUGGGGAGGGCCAGAGGAGAGGUAAGGGAGAACUUUGUGAGUUCAAAGGAAAGGUCUUCUCUGAGACUGUCAGGAAGAAUCAAACUGAGGAAUCUGUGAAGAGUUAGGAAUGUGCUGAGUGUGAACUUGCAGAUGAGUGGGGGAGGAUGAAGGAUGGAGGGGGAUGCAGAGCUGUGGCGAGGGGACAUCUUUCCACGUGUCUGUUUCCUUCCUAGCCCCUUAGCUCUGUGACUGGGGCUGAAACAGAACCAGGAAACACCCGAGAAGAAUUAACAAGGGACAGGCAUUCCUUCAUACCCAGAUGAUGUCAUUUCAUUUUUUUUUUUUGAGCUAGAUAUGACCAGAAGUCACAUGAUGAAGGUAGCAGCAGGGAGAGCUCCAUAACCUGUGGGGGUAGUGAAAAAUGAAAAUGUGGGGUUCUGGUCCAAAAGAAGGGGGAAGUGCCAUUAAAGGUAGUAAAAUUAGCUGGGUACAGUGGCACUUGACUGUAAUCACAGCGACCUGCGGGGCUGAGGUGGGAGGGUCACAAGUUUGAAGCCAACCUCAGCAACUCAAGGAGAUCAUGUCUCAAAAUAAAAUAAAUAAAUAAAUUAAAAGGACUGGGGUUGUAACUCAGUGGUGGAGCUCCCCUGGGUUCAAUCUCCAGUGCCUAAAAAAAGGUAGCAAAAUAUAAAGUUUCUUUUUCUUCCAUAGUAUCUCUUUUGAUUUUUAAAUGGCUGUUUAAUGUUAAGAAAGCUUAAAAUUUGAAUCAUUAGUAUGAAUUUUGCCCCUCAUCUCUAUAUUGUGCUAUGCCAGUUUUGAAUACAAAUACGGGAACACUUAACCUGUGUGUGGAAUCACAAAAACGAUACAACUUACGUCUUGUAGUCCCCACAUGCAUUUCAUUCUUAUCAGGAGAGUAGAAAGGCUGCACAAAACUCAACCUCUUUAUUCCACUUCUUGGUAACACAUGUUCCCUUGCGCUCUCUACCUUCCACUUACUAAUGAGUAAAGAAGUACUAAGAGGAAAAGGAAGUGCAGGCUGCGCUAUCUUUCCCUUUCCCCUGCCAUGUCAUCCUUUUCAAGUUAAGUGGCUGGCUAAUACAAGAAAGUGACACAAAGAAGAAAGGAUGGGAUAGGGUCUCUUCAUUGUUGAUGUUUCUUACCACACCAUGGCUUUUUUUUUUUUUUCUGGAACAAAAGCAAGCUCUGGUUUGAAUGGAAAGCCUGGCCUUUCCAGAUGCUUGGUAUCUUCCCUGUAACUCCUUCGCUGAGACUCUCCUGCAUUCUCGUGCAUCAAGGGUCCUCUGCAAGUCUCCGCUCACAGAGCAGAGGCAACACCAUAUGCAAACAUAUUAUGCCGUGUAUUCCCUUGAUUAGGUGCAUGUUCCAUUGUCCUGUUGGACUUUACUUAUAACACAGACUUAAAUAUUAAAAUCACUAAAGCCUUUCAAGAUGGCAAUAGCAAACCUUGAACCCUUUUGAGUGGAGGGCCCUGUGUGACAAAAGCUCAGGAAACACCCAUAAAGCUGGCAGAGAGCAGAGCCCUAGGCUGCCUGCCUACUGGGUGUUCCAUGAGAUUGAAAAACAUUUCUAUCUAAAGAUGUUUUAUUUUGAGAUCUUUGCUGCAUUUUGCUUCCUGACUGGUGUGAACACUUUUAGUUCUCAAAACACAUUGCCAGGGCUGGGGCUGUAGCUCAGUGGGUAAAGCACUUGCUUUGCAUGUGUGAGGUACUGGGUUCAAUCCUCAGCACCAUAUAAAAAGAUAUUGUGUCCAUUUAAAACUAAAAAAAACAAACAAAACAAAGAAACAAAUAAACAAACAAAAAACAUUGCCAGAUAGCAUAAAUAAGAAAGAAUACCUCUCUAUUUAGUUAACACUAAAUGUUGACUGUGUAUGACUAUGUAUGUUUUGUAGUUCCCGCAUGCAUAUGAAUUUCAUAUGCAUAUUUCAUACAUGCAUACUACAAGACAUAUAUACUCUUGCUAUUUUCUUCAUUGUGAUGUUUCACUAGCCCCUCUAAUUUAAAAUGCCUCAAACUCAUUUCCCCUCCUAUACCAAAUGUAGACACAAAACAACUAACAUUUAAUUAGCUGUAAACAUGUACCAAACAUUUUAAUUCCUAUUUAGUAGUUAUACCAUAUUUACUACCUUUUCCCAGAUGAGGAAAUGGAAGCUUAGAAAGUAUAUUUCACUUGUUAAAGGGUUACUGAGUUGAAAUAGUUACUGAGUUGAAAUAUAAUCACUGUAUUUAUGACCCCAAAGUCUAUGUAAUUAAUCCCUUCUCUUUCCUUAGCUUUUCUAGGAUUGCAAGAUAAUUCCUGAAACAAUGGCUGUGGUGUGAUUGUGGAAAGAAAGGUCUUCCUUUGAUCUUGCAGCAAAGCAGUGUCUAUAGUAAAUCCAGGACCCUGGUGUUCUACAGAUCACUAUGGUACUAUGAUCCCUACCAACAGACAUCCUAAAAACCUAUGUGUUCAGCCCAGAGGAGUUUCUUAGAGAAGCUGUGGUCCUCUAUUCCUUAGUGACCUCUUGUGGCAAGUGGACUACCUGCUGUGAACCAUCCUCCAGAGGAUAAAGAGCUUAUCACUCACUGUUAUGCCCAACCCUGGACCACACAAAAGGCUUCAGGGGAAUCUGGUUAGGAAGUGGGGUAGUAUUUGGUCUCACACACACACUGACAUGCCUGGAAACAGGCUAGAGGAGACAUCCUCAUCAUUCCAAUGUGUCCAAAGUGAGCCAAGGAUAUAAAAGCACCAGGUUUUCUGUUUCUUGGACUUGUCUUUGUAUCUUUUCCCCAAUUCCUUCUCCUCUCUUCCUUUAGGUGAGGAGAGAAAGCUAUAUUGAAGCAUAAAUCAGAUUGAAGAAUUAAAUAAUAUUAACAAGACUAGCAGCACAGCAAUGUGUACAAGGUUGAUUUUAACAGAAUAAAUUUUUAAAAUAUGAAUAUCAGUAGGAGCUUUCAAGUGAUUGUAUUAACAUUAAUAUGUACACAGUGUAAUACUAUAAAGGUAUAAAACUUGUUUAUAAUGGAGGCAGAGGAGUUGGGGUAAAAAAACAAACUAUCUGGGGGUGUAACUCAAAGGUAGAGCAUUUGUCUGGCAUAUGUGAAGCCCUGGGUUUCAUUCCCAGCACCACAACAUAAGCAAAAACCAAACAAAUAAAAGAAGCCACAUUACAAAAUAUUUUUUAUGAUAUAUAUUUUUAUAAUGUUGGAGUGAGUUUCCAUGCAAACAGAAAAGAAAUUCACCAAAAUGUUAACAGUGGUAGUUAUCUCUGAGUGGUGAUAUAAAAGAUUCAACAUUUGUUCUCUACAUUUUUAUAUAUUUCAGUGGUUCUCAGUGUAUUAAAAGUCUGGGGCUGAGGAUGUGGCUCAAGCAGUAACGCGGUCGCCUGGCAUGUGCAAGGCGUUGGGUUCGAUCCUCCAGCACCACAUAAAAUAAAAUGUUGUGUCCACCGAAAACUGAAAAAUAAAUAUUAAAAAAAUUCUCUCUCUAAAAAAAAAAAGUCUGUUAUGCAUCUGAAUGCUAGACCAAUUAAGUCAGAAUGUUCAGGGUAAGGCUUGCUUGGGUACUGGUAAAAAUUCCUCCUGAUGAUUGUAAUGUGCAAUCAGGCUUGAGAACCAGUGUUAUUUUGUUUGGUUUUACAAUCAGUGUUCAUUUUUAUAAGUCAGGAAACCAGACAAAGUUAUCUCGAUUUUACCAAUUUGUAUGCAAUGUGCAUUUGUGCAUAUAGGCAGUUGCAGAAAUUAAGCUGAAGCCAGUAAAACAUCCAAAGGAAACAGUAAAGUGGCCUCACUGAUAACUGAUUGUGGAAUCUGAAGUCAGGAAAACCUGGCUUUGCUUCAUUAUUCUAAUCCCUCCUGGCUGUUACCUGGAGCUACUCACUUCAUCUGUUUGAAUGUGCUUCUCCUCUAGUAAAGGCAGGCAGAAGGAUGAGAAUUAAGUAUUGCAUGUGCUUAAGUUAUUCGUUAUAAUAAAGAUAG
rnacentral:lncRNA from 1 species